UCUCUCUCCGUCUGCCCCUCCCAUCACUUGCACGUGCUCUCUAUUAAAAAAAAAAAAGAACCUUUAUAUAAAUUUACUUAAAUAUGCAUAAAGAAAUUCUGGAAAGAUACAUAAUUAAGAACAUUACUCACCUGCAGCAUGCGGAGAGGGUGUCUCUGCAGAUGAGGGCAAGGAUGGGAAGAUUUUCUAUGUGACUGUAUCACCUAUUUAAACAAAGAGUAAAAAUAUAUCUUUUUAAAAAAUUAUGCAAAUAGCAAACAAUUCUUAAAAAAAGAAAGAAAAAAAAGUAGACAGUGAAACUCCUUUCCCUUAAGGUUACUGGCAGGUUAGUGAGAAUCCUUCCAGGCUUAUUAGAGACAAUCACACAUGAUAACUUUAUUAUGUAAGUGGCUUGUGCACUCAUUCCCUAGACAUCACCGGAGUCCUACCUCCAUCCCUAUUGGUAAGAAUUUAAAAAGGGUUUCUAAAGCUCCCAGACUUUUUCCUCUCACCUCUCCAGGUGGUCCCUGAGAAGACUCCAUGUCUCUUUUGAAAGCACUUGUAGCAGACCCAUUUCCAGAUUCGCUGGCAUUGGGAAAUCUUCCGACCAUUGGGACUGUCUUAAAACAUGACUCUUCAACAUCACUGCACCCAGCACACCCCCAGGGUCUGGAAAAGUCAGCAGACCCCCAACAGAGACCAGCUUUCAUCCGAGGAGUAGCUAAAACCCUGGGGAGCCUCGGGGCCAUUCAAGCCUACUCAGUGUGCUCACCUGGUCUCGCCAGCCCAGGGCCCCGAUGUGGAAGGAACUGGAGUCAGACAGACCUGGGUUUGGAUCCCAGCCCUGUCACUUGUUAGCUAUGUGACCUUGGACAAUUAAACUAACCUCUCUGAACUUGUUUCCUCAUCUCAAAAAAAAAAAAAAAAAAAAAAAAAAGUGAGGCUUGCAGGGUUCUUGGAUAAUGAGAUUAAGGUAUGCAGUCGGCACUUAAUACAUAUCCGCUGUCCUUCCCCUCCUCUUGCCUGCCAAGCACAUUGACAUUCUGCAGAGACAAGAACAGCCAAGCAACUUUCUCUUCUGGAGGAUUUGUAUCUUUGUCAUUGUUUUUCCUGGAAGGGCACGAACAGGAAGCCUUGGACUGGCCAAGAGCGAGAACAACAUAGCCCUGGCCCUUCGAAAACGUAUUAAACUUAAGUUUCCGUGGAGUCUUAACGGCCAUGCGUUACACUAUGCACCCCGUGCGUUCACCUGGAAAACAGCCUCCUCCUCUCCGACCCUAGCGCCACCGAGAGGCCUGAGCCGCCAUCCCCGCCCCCCCUCACCUGGCCCCCACGACCGGCCUCGCGCUGCCUCCACUUCCGCUCGCUCUCGCUCUCUCCCAAUGUGCUUCUCCAGGAGGCCCGUUCCCAAACUGCAAAUGACAUCACAUCAGACGUCUGCUCUAGACCCUUCGUCGUCUUUCCGACAAAGCGCACAGCCAUCUGCCCACCGCCUACCUCUCUCCUUCCCUCUCCUCCCUCCCCACUUCGGACCGCGCCGUCCACAAGCGCUUUUCUUUUCCUCUGCGCGCGCACCAGUUCGUUCCAGCCUCAAGGCCCUGCAGCGGCCGCUGCCUCCACCUGGAGCUCACUUCCUCCCGGUGGAUGCUCCCUUCUCAAUAAUCAGGCUGGAGCUCCAGUGCCACCUGCUCAGAGACAUCUUCUCUCGUCGUGGCGGCCGCACGGUCACAUCUAUCACUUCGUCCUGUUUUCAUACUUGCACUUGUCACUACCUAAAGUUCUCUGGCGCCUUGUCUGUCUCAUUCACCACGUGCCCCCCCCGUCCCCCCCCCCCUGGCGCCUAGAACCCGCCUAGAGCACCAGCAGGUACAAUACCUGUUUGUUACUUAAAUGACCCCCUUUGUCUCACCAUUUAAGCAUAAAUCCAUGAUCUUCAGGAUGGUCUGUCUUCAUAGGAGAGCUUCUAAUAUGUGUCUAGACAGUCCUUUUAUUUUUGGCAAUUUUGGCAAAGUGACUUGCUUCUGGAAUUUAACAAAACCAGACAACGCCUGUCUCCCUAGUCUCAUCCAAAGCUGUGCCCCCUCGUCUAGAAUCUGCAGAGACUCUUGCUGUCUGCCCCCUCCGUAACAGCUAGGCACGGAUGAGA